UUGGAGACGGAUUGGCGAGUCUGGCAAGAUCUGGGCCCUACAUCAAACAGGACAGCAGGGCUGGAUGACUGGAAGCCAAGUGAGAGGCGUGGGGUGGAGAGAACCUGUGGCUGAGAUCCUCCCAGGCACUUAGGGGCUACAGACCGUGGAGGAUGCGGGCGUAGCUGUCCAGUUUGUUCUUUCCUCUAGCAGUUGCUGGGCAGACAACAGGCUAGUGCAUCCUGCACCAUUCCUCCAGGGCGACAGUGGGCCAGUGAAGGCUGUCCCAUCACCACAGCUCUGAUUUCCAAGAAGGACCUUCUGGAGAUGAUACCAUUGCUUCUGGUGGUGGUACGUUUUGACCUGUACUGUACGAUGCCAUCUUGUAACCGUUCUGCCGUGAUCCAGUGCAGCUCAAGCUGGACUCUGGAGUUUGUGCAGGGAUGUACCAAACCGAACACAAGGCCCUUUCCUGUAUUCAUUGCGCAGCCUCA